GAGCAUUCCGGGAGAUGUAGUCCGGGUCGGCCUCCCUUCCUCCCCCUUGUUUCUCCUCCUGUCCUACCUUUUCCUGGCUUUUGCCCUUCCAGAGAGUUACCGCUAUAUGCCCAUGCUCCUGCCUGGCGCAUUAGAAGAAAGCAUUGGCUCCUAAACGCAGGGUUGGGUCUCCCAGCCUCAGAUGUGGCCACGGGAUAAUUAGGAAAGAAAUGUAUAUUUAGUUACAAUUUCGUGCAAGGCAAUAUGCAUAUUUCAUUUUAUUUAAUAGAACAAAGGUUCCAAAUAGAUUUUAUUAAUCCUCAUUUUACAGAUGAGGAAAGAGGCUCAGAGGAAUUAAGUGCCUCAUCCAGGUUUGCAAAGACAAUAAACGAUAGCUAGUAGAUUGUAUCCAAGAAUCUGCUUACAGGUAGUUCCCCUCGUGGCUCAGCUGUAAUGAAUCUGACUAGCAUCCAUGAGGACGUGGGUUCCGACCCUGUCCUUGCUCAACGGAUUAAAGGUACGACGUUGCUGUGAGCUGUGGUGUAGAUGUGGCUGGGAUCUGGCGUUGCUGUGGCUGUGGCCAGCAGCUACAGCUCAGAUUUGACCCGUAGUGUAAGAACUUCUCUGCUUCCGAAGUCAUUGCCUUGCUCACAAAAUCAGGAAAAAUUGACCAUUAAGGAUGGAAUUGUCCUGUUCUGCUCUGCAUCCCCUGUGCCUAGCAGUGUCUGAAUAAUAAUGACCCAAAAUAACAAUAAUCAACAUACAGAACACUUACUUUUGCCAGGGUCUCUUUGAAUCACUUUUGAUAUGUUAACUCACUUAAUGGUCACAUUAAGUUAAUUUUAGAAGUCCUAUAAAAAUCCUUAUCUUUACCUAAGAUGAAACUGAGUUACAAAGAAGCUGAAUAGUUUGCCCAAAGUCAUACAGCUAGUACUCAAGAGAAAUGGCAUAUGGACUCCAAAAGGCCCUAAACAUUAUGCGAAUUGAGUGAAUGGGAAAAAAAGACCAGAAGACCUGAAGACAAGAAGAGAAAAGGGUUAGGAAUAAAGGAAAUCUGGAAUUGAAGCUACUGAGAUUUGACUCCCAGAACAGGACAGAUUAACUUCUUUGGGUCACAAACCUCUUUCUAACCACAGUGGACUACAGCAGCCAACAGUCAAAGAGAAUGUGUGGUUUGUGGAUCAUCUCCAAGUUUUUAGCAUCUCCUUUGGGGUGAUUCUAGGGUUAUUGAUUUUUUUUAUGUAAAUGUUUUAUAUAAUAUUUUGCUGCUUAUGAGUAAUAUACUCACAUGUGGUUGCUUGCUUUCAAGUAAUAGAUCAAUCUCCUAUAAUGAUAAUUUUGUUGGUUUUCUUUUACAUUGAUAGAAUCCAUAGUCUCAUAGUUCCAGGGACUUCAUAAUCCAGCCCCUUGAAAAUCUUUUUUCCCUAUGACUCUCUUUCAGCCAGAUAAGCCCAUUUGUUGUUAAACAUGACAUGUCUUUUAUGGCUUUUUCUCCUUUGCUCAUUAAUUACUCUGUUCUCCAGUGAGAAUAUCCUUUCCUCAUUCUCCUAUUCUCACCACCCUUCAAAGAUUACCUUAUCAAGCCACGUUUGCUGGGGUGCAUUCUGUUCUUAGUACUAUAUAUUUAAAAGGGAGCCCAAAGACACCAACUUGAACUCAUGUUGAACAAGGAACAUGGGAUAUUUAGCCAGAGGAGGAGACUUAGGAGAAACAAACAAACAAACAAAAACUUUAAAUAAUUUGAAGUUUGUGAAACAGAAGAGGAAUUCUGUGUCACAGUUUAAAAGGGGAAAAGCAGAACCAGUGACAAUAAUAGUAUUUAUUAAUCCUAAAAUGCUAUCAUCUUUAAUUCUUAUACUAACUCUAUAAGGAGCCAGUAUUAUUAUACUUGUUUUACAAUGUAGAAAUUGAGGAUUGAAAUGAUCUUUUUCUCAAGGUAUUAGAGGUGAUAAAUAACUGGAAGAGCCCAGAUUCUAACAUGGGUCUAUCUGAUUCUAGAACCUGGAUCUCUUUAUCACCACAUUAUACUGAGCAAUGCUUCACAAUCAUUUUCAUAGCAGAGCAUAAAUGCUUCUGUGGCUACUUCAGGCCCUGCAGGACAGCUAGGGAAUAGAUAAGUCAGCACAUCUGUAAUACCCUGGGGCACCUGAGGAUGAUGGACACAGGGACUGGGAAGCUCUGGAGAGCACUAUCAGAUUCAGUAAGGAGGCAAAUUAGAGCAUAAGGAAGAACAUUAUCUUUAAGGACUUGAAAUAGGAUGUCUCAUGAAAGUAAAUUCUGUUAUUACUGGAGAGGAUUUUUUUGUAAACAGCCAUUUAUUAAUGAUGUGGUACAAGGAAUUCAUCUAGUUGGAUUAAAGGAUCUCUGUUAUUUCCCUGGUGAAAUGAUUCUGAGUUACAUUUCUUUUAUGAUGCCCUUUCCUCCAAGCCAGCUCCCAAAGAUUCUACCUCCUAUUAACUAUACUAGGACUUGUCAGCACUGAUAUUUGUAUUUAUCAGCCACUACCUUGUGACAUUUCUAGUAUGUCUAGGUAACUACUGCCUAUUGUUUAUCUUCUCACUUAGGAGCCUAAACCUCUAGUAGCAAUUAUAAGCUCCUUAAGGUCAGCAUCCAUAUAUUAAAUGUCUUCUUAUCUCCUACAGAAAGUAAAAUAUUCCUAUUGAAUAGGGAGAGGGAAAAUGCCAAGACUGAACUGAGACUGGAGAUGAUUAUUUAUCUACAUUAUUCUCUCUCAUUUCCUAUUUCUGAAUAUAGUACACUUGACUGUCUACCUAUUUUUGAGCAUUAAAAUAAAAUCAACUCUGUACCAACACACUACAAAAUGUCCUUCAAAAUUCUAUAGAAAAAGAAUAAAUAUGGACUUACCAGCUCCUGGAAAGAAAAGCUCUGCAAAGAAAUACCACUUGCUGGAAUAACUCAACUUCUCUCCUCUUGCUCCCAAGAAAAAAGAAUUUGGUUAUCUGGCAAUGGUUGUUGCAAAAAUUAACUAAAAAGGAUGCUUUGCUAAAAGGAGAACCAAAUGGCAACGUGGAAUGUUCUUUGAGACAAGAGCCAGAAGUCUUACAUGAGUCGAUGCAUUUUAGCUCUGAGUCCAUGGACUACCUACGGCACACAUCCCUCAUGAAAAACACUUCAAAUGAUCAAACAAUUUAGCUACUCUGGAGAGACUGUUGACAUCUUACCCUGACAGGCUCAUCGAAAUCAAACUCCCCUCCUAACCAGAAUUGAUAGUAGCAAGGAAUUAUGUGGCUAACACAGAGGCAUCAGCUGUAUUCAGGACACAUAUGUGUUCUGAAAUGUACUCUGCCCUGAACCAUCAUGAAAGGAAAAAUGAAACAGUUUCAAGAGAUAGCUAACAACAAACUGGGGAAUAAGUGAGAAGGUAAGAAAGGAUACACAUUUCUCAUAAAGGAAAAUGUAAUUAUCCCAAUGGUGUUCCUGAGAUGGGGCAAGCAAGCCAGACAGAAAUGACAGAAGGUACAAAUGGAAACUGCUAACAAGACCUCUCAUAUCCAAUCACAGCUCUGCCUCUGGACCCAGGAAAAUAACAGUCUGAUUGUCAAAGUAUCUAAGAAACUCUUCCAUAUUUUUCCCAAACAUCUUAAAAGAACUUCAGAGCAUUAGUAUUUCAUCAAGAAUAUUUUUGAUCAGUCUAUAUCCUCAUGCUAAAUUUCUGAAUGAUCUCUUCAUUUAUGUUUUAUCUUUCCCUUUUUUCUUCAGGACAAAAAAUAAAUUCUGGUGAACUCUACAAAAUAUAUAUUAGGCUAUAUACUCACUCUUCCUUUCUAAAAAAAUGCAUUCAUUUACCUGUUAAUAGUUUCUAUUAUUUCCACAUGUACUUCUUUUCUUUUCCUUUCCAAUGUCUGAUAGUCAAAUCCAGAAUGAACCCAUUUAUUUCCCUUUCUGAUGCGUCAACCUUUCUGCACUAUCCAGUGCUGGCCAGAAGAUGUCACUCUUAUAACUCAAAUUGAUUCUUUGUCCCUCUCCUUUAUAGCCUGAAAAAAGUUAACAUACCAGGGAAAAGACCCUUGAAAUCUCCUAAAAACCCAAACAAAAGGCAUAUAAUUCUAUACACUAGGAUAUCUUUUAUGGUACUUAAAUACAUCUUGUCUAUUUGAGAUUUGCAAAUAUGUAACCAGUAGGCAAUUUCAUUUCACAGAAUAUUUCUGAAAUAACUGAAACCAAACCAGUGUUGAGACUAACAAAUCACAGAACUGUGGAGUUGGAAGGGCCUUAGAACUUUCUACCCUCUCUAUAUGAAUUUCUUUUACCCAAGAAUGGAAUCUGAUUUCUUAGUCCAAACUCAUUCCCCUACUCAUACAUUCAUUUACUCAUCACUAUUUUUAUAGAACAUGUUCUGUAUGCUUGGCAAUGGGGUAAUUGCUAAAGAUCCAAGUAUUAGAAAGAUGAGGUAGACACAAUCCUUUUCCUCUGUUAUGGGUUGAAUUUUGCCCCUUCCCCUCCCCCCAAAAAAGAUAGAAUGAAGUCCCCCAUUACCUCAGGAUGUGAACUUAUUUGGAAAUAGAGUCAUUACAGAUAUAUAUAACUAGUUAAGAAGAUGAGGUCAUAUUGGAAGAGGGUGGGUGCUAAAUGCAAUAUAGUUGGUUCCUUAUAAGAAAAGGAGAGGGGCAUGCAGGGAAAAGAUGAUCAAAUGACAGCAGAAGAAGAGACUGGAAUGAUGCAUCUCCAAGCCAAGGAAUGGAAAGGAUUUCUGGCAAACAUGAGAAGCUAGAAGUAGCAAGGAAAGAUUCUCCCCUACACAGGUUUCCGAGAACCCAGCUGACACCUUACUUUUAAAUUUCUAGCCUCCAGAACUAUGAGGUAAUACAUUUCUGUUGCUUCAAGUGACCUAGUUUGUGGUACUUUGUUAUGACAGCCCUAGGAAAUUAAUGCACCCGUAAAAACAUUAUAUAAUACAAACAAAUAAGUCUAAUACAGUGUAAUAAAUGCUGUUAUAAUUGAAGCAUGGGAUGUAAUGAGGAAAUAUGAGAGACAGGCCCAUCAGAGUAUUUCUGGAGGAAGUGAUUCCCAUUCCAAAAACCAAUAAACAAAAAAGACAUCAAAGGCAUGCCCAAGUAAACUAUUGUGAGUAGUAUAGCCAUUUUGAAAAUGGAGAGAAGUAUACAAAUCUCUCAUCUAUCUACAUCCCUCCUUUGCUCAGCUUCAAAACUUUGGUCAACAAUCAAAAUGUAACAUUAGAUAUGAAUCAACUCAGAUGUUCUGAGACUGUGUACCAGAUUUUAUUUAUAAUCAUUUUUAUUCUAUAUUAUGUAACUAAGAGAAAAAUAAAUGUCUCAUACCUUUAGUGACUGGAGUGACUAGUUUGAAUUAGAACCCUUGCAAUUCCAUGGAACCUUCAUCUUCCCUCCCUUUUCCUUCUAAAUCCUACUGUCUGUCCUGCUCCAUCAGUGCUCCGGGCUCUAUUCUCUCUUCUUUUUCUCUGCAUCUCAUUUGACUGAAUUUCUACUAAUUGACCUCCUUAUUACACAUUCAUUAUCUAGAAUUCUCAAGUGCCCACUAGAAUUUUUAUUUACUACCACCCCAUUUUUGCUCCAAAAUAUCACCAUUUUCCCUCUAAACAUCAGUCAAAUUUCUCCAUAGAAACAGAACCAAUAAGAUAUAUGAUUUUAUAAAUGUAUAUGUGUGCAUGUGUGUAUGUAUGUGUAUAUACUCUCAUAUAUAUAUAUAUGAAAUUAAUAUAUCAUAAGGAAUUGACUCACAUGAUUAUGGAAGAGGCUGAGAAGUCCUCUAAUGCUAUCUGCAAGCUGGAGGCUCAGGAAAGGUGAUGGUGCAAUUCAGUCUGAGUCCAAAUGCCUAGGAAGCAAGGGGGCCAAUGAAAUUAAACCCCAGUUAGGGGUGGAAAGAGACUAUGAAAUAAGAUGUUCCAGCUCAAGCAGUGAGGCAGUGAAAGAAAAACAGUGAAAUCUUCCUUCCUCCUCCUAUUCAGGCCUUCAGAGAACUGGAGGUUGCCCAUGUACAUUGGGGGGAUCAGUUUACUUUGCUGAGUUUACCAAUUCAAAUAUUACUCAUCAAGAAGCACUCUCAGAGACACACCCAAAACAAUUUUUUUUUUUUUUUUU